AGCAGCCGCGGUAAUUCCAGCUCCAAUAGCGUAUAUUAAAGUUGUUGCAGUUAAAAAGCUCGUAGUUGAAUUUCGGGAUCAAUACGUCGGUCGUGCUUCGGUACGUACUGGCGUCAUUGGUUUCUCCCUUCUGACGAACCAUGAUGCCAUUAAUUUGGUGUUGCGGGGAAUUUGGACUGUUACUUUGAAAAAAUUAGAGUGUUUAAAGCAAGCUAACGCUUGAAUACAUUAGCAUGGAAUAAUGAAAUAGGACGUUCGAAUCCUAUUUUGUUGGUUUCUAGGAUUGACGUAAUGAUUAAUAGGGAUAGUCGGGGGCAUUAGUAUUCAAUUGUCAGAGGUGAAAUUCUUGGAUUUAUUGAAGACUAACUACUGCGAAAGCAAUUUGCCAAGGAUGUUUU
rnacentral:rRNA from 1 species